UCGCCACCGCGUGCAGGGACGCGCGCGGACCGACUGAGCCCCACUUCCCGGGCAGGGACACCACGAUGAAAAGCUGAAACUAAAGAAGAGAAGUCCCUUUCUCUGAGAUGACUCAAGCCAUGCUAGGAUGCGAGUCGGGGCCAUCUGAUGCUUUUCCCUGCUCAAACCAGCUGCCCGGAGAGGACUCGGGGGAACCACAUCGAGGAGACGCUCAAGAUGAGGAAACUGAGGCCCAGACAAGUCACAUGCCUGAGGUCGCCCAGUUAGGAAGUGGUGGAGACAGGAUUUGAACCCGGACAG